GAUGAACGCUAGCUACAGGCUUAACACAUGCAAGUCGAGGGGCAGCAUGGAAGAAGCUUGCUUCUUCUGAUGGCGACCGGCGCACGGGUGCGUAACGCGUAUCAAACCUGCCUCAUACUCGGGGAUAGCCUUGCGAAAGUAAGAUUAAUACCCGAUGUUGUUAUGUUACCGCAUGGUGAUAUAACCAAAGAUUUAUCGGUAUGAGAUGGUGAUGCGUCCGAUUAGGUAGUAGGCGGGGUAACGGCCCACCUAGCCUUCGAUCGGUAGGGGUUCUGAGAGGAAGGUCCCCCACACUGGAACUGAGACACGGUCCAGACUCCUACGGGAGGCAGCAGUGAGGAAUAUUGGUCAAUGGACGGAAGUCUGAACCAGCCAAGUAGCGUGCAGGAUGACGGCCCUCCGGGUUGUAAACUGCUUUUAGUUGGGAAUAAAAAAGAGGACGUGUCCUCUAUUGUAUGUACCUUCAGAAAAAGGACCGGCUAAUUCCGUGCCAGCAGCCGCGGUAAUACGGAAGGUCCAGGCGUUAUCCGGAUUUAUUGGGUUUAAAGGGAGCGUAGGCGGAUNNNNNNNCAGUGGUGAAAGACGGUGGCUCAACCAUCGUUAGCCAUUGAAACUGGUAGUCUUGAGUGCAGACAGGGAUGCUGGAACUCGUGGUGUAGCGGUGAAAUGCUUAGAUAUCACGAUGAACUCCGAUCGCGAAGGCAGGUGUCCGGGCUGCAACUGACGCUGAGGCUCGAAAGUGUGGGUAUCAAACAGG
rnacentral:rRNA from 1 species